CACACAAAGAAAAGCCAAGGAUUCGUGAUGCAUAAAGGUAAAGGCUCAAGCGAGUAAAUUAUUGUAAUAUUGCAAAGAGGAAUUAUUAUUUGCAAGUAACAAAGAGAACAGGCGCAGAAGGUAACAUUACAUUUGAAGUAUGUACUUACACUCUUGUGAGAGGGAUGGGUAGCACAAGAUUGUUACGUAUAUCGUGAUAAUUGAGCGUGAAAUUUUCUGGGAGACAUGGCGCCGGUUUAUUUCCCUCUACCCAGCGGCAGGAAUAUUCGUGCUGUUAAAGGUUCCCAAGUUAAUUUGUAACGUGGAUACAUACAGAAAAUCGCGUUUGGCAUUGGACUCUGCUACCCGACACGUAGCUGUUACGUAAUACGUACUAGGUACUGCAAGUACCGGCCCACGUUAACUAAAGUCUGCACGUUCGGUGAACUCACGUAAAAUUGAUCCCGAUAAUUGGAAAUCGCAGUGCGGAUGGUGUUCCGCACGCUUCACGGAAGACGCCUCGUCUUAAUCACCAAUUCAUCACUCGCCAUUGAACCUUUGAGCAAAUCGCGCGUAAAUUCUAACAGAUAGCCGAUACAUUGGAGCUGAUAAUGUGCAAGCUUGUCGAAUCCAGCAGACUAGAACACUGGAUGUCAGGAGGAUAAGCCUACGGUCUACGGUAAGUAUUAAUCAUAAGGUUAAGGUUAAGUACCUGUUCACAGGGAGGAAAUUCUUGUUGAUGCUGCAUUAGCCAUGUAAAUGGCUACAUAACCUCACUAAACCAGGGAAACAGCCACGUUGUAUCUGAAGAGUGAAUAAAGGCUGGACCAUCCCCGAAAACUUGGUGGAUGACGGUCAGAACUGAUAGGAGAAAGGUUUCUCGCUGACGUGGACAUUGGAAGAGCCCGCAGCUUCCUUUUCCCGAUAACGAAGCCUUAAAUUCUCGCCGUCUUCAUCUUGGCUUAUUUGGCAGCUUCGCUACGGAUCACUUCAAAUUCUCAUUAGAAACAUUAUGCUACAGCAGCAUCCAAAGGUCAUAGGUCGAUUUUGCAUUAACUCCUAGGAUUUUCCAUGAGUCGUCAGUGAACAUUAGCUCCUGAAGUUACGUAACUGGGUACUGUAGUCGGUCUACCUAAAUACUCGAUAAUUUGGAUCUUAGUGUGUUUGGCGUAAAGUGUGCUUAAUUGCAGCUGGAUAACAUUAGGCAAACCGUAGAAGGGGCGGACUCGAACGCUCGUUUAUAGGAUCGUAUUGCAAUCACGUGGAACUGUUAACUUAACUGGUAUAGAGAAGCGCUGGGAUGGUUUACAAUGCAACCUAAGGGUGAG